GAUGAAGAACGGAGCGAAAUGCGAUACGUAAUGUGAAUUGCAGAAUUCAGUGAAUCAUCGAGUCUUUGAACGCACAUUGCGCCCCCUGGUAUUCCGGGGGGCAUGCCUGUCCGAGCGUCAUUGCUGCCCUCAAGCACGGCUUCUGUGUUGGGCCUCCGUCCUCCUCCCGGGGGACGGGCCCGAAAGGCAGCGGCGGCACCGCGUCCGGUCCUCGAGCGUAUGGGGCUUCGUCACCCGCUCUUGUAGGCCCGGCCGGCGCUUGCCGACACAUCAAUCUUUUUUCCAGGUUGACCUCGGAUCAGGUAGGGAUACCCGCUGAACUUAAGCAUAUCAAUAGCGGAGGA
rnacentral:misc_RNA from 1 species